rnacentral:misc_RNA from 1 species
AGCAACCGAUUUUUACAACUGAUUGUAAAUCAAUUGCUAAUUUUUUUCUCUCAAAAAUUUUCUUCCAAUUUUAUUUUAUUUUUAUUUGCAAACGAUUUGCAAAUUAGUUGUUAACAACAACUGAUUUUUUUUCCUUCCAAAAUUCCCACAUAAUUUUUUUUAUUGGCAACUUAUUUUUACAACCGAUUAAAAUUAGUUGUUAUUAGUAACCGAUUUUGCAAUCUAUUUUUUCCUCUAAAGAUUCCCACUCAAUUUUUUUUUAUUGACAACCGAUUUACGAAUCAGUUACUAACAGCAAUUAAUUUUUGAAACUAAUUAAAAUCGAUUGCUAUUAGCAACUA